AUACCAUGGUGGGGACACUCUUAGAAAAGGACUUAGAACCUUUCCAUUAGUCUAUAAAAUGACUCUUGAGGUUUUUGUCGGAACUAUAUGAUCUCGCUCUUGAGUUU